rnacentral:rRNA from 1 species
UACGUAGGGACCAAGCGUUGUUCGGAUUUACUGGGCGUAAAGGGCGCGUAGGCGGCGUAAUAAGUCACUUGUGAAAUCUCCGGGCUUAACUCGGAGCGGCCAAGUGAUACUGUCAUGCUAGAGUGCAGAAAGGGCAAUCGGAAUUCUCGGUGUAGCGGUGAAAUGCGCAGAUAUCAGGAAGAACACCAAUGGCGAAGGCAGCUCUCUGGGACGGUACUGACACUGAGACGCGAAAGCGUGGGGAGCGAACAGG